GCUUCCAUUUUCAGACACUAUCUACAUAUUUCGGAGGGCUUUAGAAGAGUCAUAUUGGGCACUUCUUCUCAGUUUUGCGAAUUUUCUACAAGAGGUCUCUAUAAUUUCAUAAAAGAAGGGACUUUAGAUGCAGAGUAGGUUGGUAAGGCUUAUGCAUGUGAUGGUGAAUGCAAAAUAAGGAGAAUGCAACCUUGGAAACCCAGAUAUCUCAAACUCAGAUUUUCAGUCUUCCACCCCUUCUAAAAAACAUUUAUUUUGAUCCA